rnacentral:rRNA from 1 species
GACGAACGCUGGCGGCGUGCUUAACACAUGCAAGUCGAACGAUGAAGCCCUUUCGGGGGUGGAUUAGUGGCGAACGGGUGAGUAACACGUGGGUAACCUGCCCUGUACCCUGGGAUAAGCCUUGGAAACGAGGUCUAAUACCGGAUAUGACCUGCUCUCGCAUGGGGGUGGGUGGAAAGUUUUGGCGGUGCAGGAUGGACCCGCGGCCUAUCAGCUUGUUGGUGGGGUGAUGGCCUACCAAGGCGACGACGGGUAGCCGGCCUGAGAGGGCGACCGGCCACACUGGGACUGAGACACGGCCCAGACUCCUACGGGAGGCAGCAGUGGGGAAUAUUGCACAAUGGGCGAAAGCCUGAUGCAGCGACGCCGCGUGA